CGAACACUGGACAAUGCACCCAAAUGUCAUUCAUGUGCCAUUAGAUCACGAGCUGCGUCGUUUUCCUUCUUGUUACCCAUUAAAUACUGUUUGCUGAAUGAUUGCUUUUUACAAUAAAACAUUUAAUGUUACCAUAAUGUGCUUUUGUUUUGUUUUAGACCAGAAAAAUAUUUGGUGGCGGGUUUUUGGAUGCUAGUUUACAUACAUGCAUACACAC